rnacentral:rRNA from 1 species
UACGUAGGGUGCAAGCGUUGUCCGGAAUUAUUGGGCGGAAAGAGCUCGUAGGCUGUCUGUCGCGUCGGCUGUGAAAUCCCGAGGCUCAACCUCGGGUCUGCAGUCGAUACGGGCAAACUGGAGUGUUGCAGGGGAGACUGGAAUUCCUGGUGUAGCGGUGAAAUGCGCAGAUAUCAGGAAGAACACCCGUGGCGAAGGCGGUUCUCUGGAACGCAACUGACGCUGAGACGCGAAAGCGUGGGGAGCAAACAGG